AUGAGGAAGCUAAAUUAAAGAACAGGAAAAACAAUCAGAUCUUGAAAAUGCUAAGUUUAUGAAGUAUAUUUUAGACAAGGAACAAGAAGCAGAGAACAAAAUAAGAGAAUUGGAGAAACAAGCUUUGGUAGAGUAUGCAGCUGAACAAAAGAAGUCUAAGGAAGAAAGAGCCAAAUGGGAAGCUGAAUAUUACGCAAAAAUAGAACAGUGUCGUAAGGAGCAGGAAGAACUUAAUUGCAAAAUAAAAGAAGUGCUUAAUAAG